rnacentral:rRNA from 1 species
AGAGUUUGAUCCUGGCUCAGAUUGAACGCUGGCGGCAUGCUUUACACAUGCAAGUCGAACGGCAGCACAGAGAAGCUUGCUUCUUGGGUGGCGAGUGGCGAACGGGUGAGUAAUAUAUCGGAACGUACCGAGUAAUGGGGGAUAACUAAUCGAAAGAUUAGCUAAUACCGCAUAUUCUCUGAGGAGGAAAGCAGGGGACCUUCGGGCCUUGCGUUAUUCGAGCGGCCGAUAUCUGAUUAGCUAGUUGGUGGGGUAAAGGCCUACCAAGGCGACGAUCAGUAGCGGGUCUGAGAGGAUGAUCCGCCACACUGGGACUGAGACACGGCCCAGACUCCUACGGGAGGCAGCAGUGGGGAAUUUUGGACAAUGGGCGCAAGCCUGAUCCAGCCAUGCCGCGUGUCUGAAGAAGGCCUUCGGGUUGUAAAGGACUUUUGUCAGGGAAGAAAAGGAUAGGGUUAAUACCCCUGUCUGAUGACGGUACCUGAAGAAUAAGCACCGGCUAACUACGUGCCAGCAGCCGCGGUAAUACGUAGGGUGCGAGCGUUAAUCGGAAUUACUGGGCGUAAAGCGAGCGCAGACGGUUACUUAAGCAGGAUGUGAAAUCCCCGGGCUCAACCUGGGAACCGCGUUCUGAACUGGGUGACUAGAGUGUGUCAGAGGGAGGUAGAAUUCCACGUGUAGCAGUGAAAUGCGUAGAGAUGUGGAGGAAUACCGAUGGCGAAGGCAGCCUCCUGGGAUAACACUGACGUUCAUGCUCGAAAGCGUGGGUAGCAAACAGGAUUAGAUACCCUGGUAGUCCACGCCCUAAACGAUGUCAAUUAGCUGUUGGGCAACUUGAUUGCUUAGUAGCGUAGCUAACGCGUGAAAUUGACCGCCUGGGGAGUACGGUCGCAAGAUUAAAACUCAAGAAUUGACGGGACCCGCACAGCGGUGAUGAUGUGAUAUCGAUGCACGCGAGACUACUGUCUGACAUGUACGAUCUCAGAGACGAGGAGUGCUCGGGAGCGUAACCACAGGUGCUGCA